rnacentral:rRNA from 1 species
UACAGAGGGUGCAAGCGUUGUUCGGAAUUAUUGGGCGUAAAGGGCGCGUAGGCGGUGCCACAAGUCACCUGUGAAAUCUCCGGGCUUAACUCGGAGCCUGCAGGCGAAACUGUGGUGCUGGAGUGUGGGAGAGGUGCGUGGAAUUCCCGGUGUAGCGGUGGAAAUGCGUAGAUAUCGGGGAGGAACACCUGUAGCGAAAGCGGCGCACUGGACCAUAACUGACGCUGAUGCGCGAAAGCCUAGGGGAGCAAACAGG